GGGCCUAAACCCCCCCCGCCCGAUGGCCCAGUAAACUCUGUUUUAUUCUGAAAUUCUGAAUCUUAAAGCAAAUAAGUUAAAACUUUCAACAACGGAUCUCUUGGUUCUGGCAUCGAUGAAGAACGCAGCGAAAUGCGAUAAGUAAUGUGAAUUGCAGAAUUCAGUGAAUCAUCGAAUCUUUGAACGCACAUUGCGCCCAUUAGUAUUCUAGUGGGCAUGCCUGUUCGAGCGUCAUUAAUACCAUUAAGCCCUGUAGCUUAGCGUUGGGAGCCUGCGGCUGCAGCUCCUCAAAACUAGUGGCGGAGUCAGCGUAUACUCUAGGCGUAGUAAUAACCCACUCGCUUCUGCGUUGCGCUGGCGCCUGCCGUAAAACAACCCAUUUCUAAAGGUUGACCUCGGAUCA
rnacentral:rRNA from 1 species